CCUGCCCCUAGAGACAUUGCAGGUGUGACUGCUGUGUCACCUGUGUGUCAAUAGGUGGCAGAGAGAAGAGAGGCUAUGUCUACACUCAGUGGUUCGACCUGUGAAUGUCUGAAUAAUUAGCAGCUUAACAAA